GAUGAACGCUAGCUACAGGCUUAACACAUGCAAGUCGAGGGGCAGCAUUUCAGUUUGCUUGCAAACUGGAGAUGGCGACCGGCGCACGGGUGAGUAACACGUAUCCAACCUGCCGAUAACUCGGGGAUAGCCUUUCGAAAGAAAGAUUAAUGCCCGAUGGCAUAAUUAGACCGCAUGGUCUUAUUAUUAAAGAAUUUCGGUUAUCGAUGGGGAUGCGUUCCAUUAGGCAGUUGGUGAGGUAACGGCUCACCAAACCUUCGAUGGAUAGGGGUUCUGAGAGGAAGGUCCCCCACAUUGGAACUGAGACACGGUCCAAACUCCUACGGGAGGCAGCAGUGAGGAAUAUUGGUCAAUGGGCGCAGGCCUGAACCAGCCAAGUAGCGUGAAGGAUGACUGCCCUAUGGGUUGUAAACUUCUUUUAUAUGGGAAUAAAGUUUUCCACGUGUGGAAUUUUGUAUGUACCAUAUGAAUAAGGAUCGGCUAACUCCGUGCCAGCAGCCGCGGUAAUACGGAGGAUCCGAGCGUUAUCCGGAUUUAUUGGGUUUAAAGGGAGCGUAGGUGGACAGUUAAGUCAGUUGUGAAAGUUUGCGGCUCAACCGUAAAAUUGCAGUUGAUACUGGCUGUCUUGAGUACAGUAGAGGUGGGCGGAAUUCGUGGUGUAGCGGUGAAAUGCUUAGAUAUCACGAAGAACUCCGAUUGCGAAGGCAGCUCACUGGACUGCAACUGACACUGAUGCUCGAAAGUGUGGGUAUCAAACAGGAUUAGAUACCCUGGUAGUCCACACAGUAAACGAUGAAUACUCGCUGUUUGCGAUAUACAGUAAGCGGCCAAGCGAAAGCAUUAAGUAUUCCACCUGGGGAGUACGCCGGCAACGGUGAAACUCAAAGGAAUUGACGGGGGCCCGCACAAGCGGAGGAACAUGUGGUUUAAUUCGAUGAUACGCGAGGAACCUUACCCGGGCUUAAAUUGCAUUUGAAUAUAUUGGAAACAGUAUAGCCGUAAGGCAAAUGUGAAGGUGCUGCAUGGUUGUCGUCAGCUCGUGCCGUGAGGUGUCGGCUUAAGUGCCAUAACGAGCGCAACCCUUAUCUUUAGUUACUAACAGGUCAUGCUGAGGACUCUAGAGAGACUGCCGUCGUAAGAUGUGAGGAAGGUGGGGAUGACGUCAAAUCAGCACGGCCCUUACGUCCGGGGCUACACACGUGUUACAAUGGGGGGUACAGAAGGCAGCUACCUGGUGACAGGAUGCUAAUCCCAAAAGCCUCUCUCAGUUCGGAUCGAAGUCUGCAACCCGACUUCGUGAAGCUGGAUUCGCUAGUAAUCGCGCAUCAGCCAUGGCGCGGUGAAUACGUUCCCGGGCCU
rnacentral:rRNA from 1 species